rnacentral:rRNA from 1 species
AGUGAACGCUGGCGGCGUGCCUAAUACAUGCAAGUCGAACGAUGAAGCUCUAGCUUGCUAGAGUGGAUUAGUGGCGCACGGGUGAGUAAUGCAUAGAUAACAUGCCCUUUAGUCUAGGAUAGCCACUGGAAACGGUGAUUAAUACUGGAUACUCCUUACGAGGGAAAGUUUUUCGCUAAAGGAUUGGUCUAUGUCCUAUCAGCUUGUUGGUGAGGUAAUGGCUUACCAAGGCUAUGACGGGUAUCCGGCCUGAGAGGGUGAACGGACACACUGGAACUGAGACACGGUCCAGACUCCUACGGGAGGCAGCAGUAGGGAAUAUUGCUCAAUGGGCGAAAGCCUGAAGCAGCAACGCCGCGUGGAGGAUGAAGGUUUUCGGAUUGUAAACUCCUUUUGUUAGAGAAGAUUAUGACGGUAUCUAACGAAUAAGCACCGGCUAACUCCGUGCCAGCAGCCGCGGUAAUACGGAGGGUGCAAGCGUUACU